UACGUAGGGUGCGAGCGUUAAUCGGAAUUACUGGGCGUAAAGCGUGCGCAGGCGGUGAUGUAAGACAGGUGUGAAAUCCCCGGGCUUAACCUGGGAACUGCAUUUGUGACUGCAUCGCUGGAGUGCGGCAGAGGGGGGUGGAAUUCCGCGUGUAGCAGUGAAAUGCGUAGAUAUGCGGAGGAACACCGAUGGCGAAGGCAAUCCACUGGGCCUGCACUGACGCUCAUGCACGAAAGCGUGGGGAGCAAACAGG
rnacentral:rRNA from 1 species